GAGUUUGAUUCUGGCUCAGGACGAACGCUGGCGGCGUGCUUAACACAUGCAAGUCGAACGAAAUUAAAAAAUUAUCAUUGAGCUCUCCGAUGAGAUGGGAGCCAAGCGUCGUGACCGCGGAGCGGGCACCACGCGUUCAACAAGUGCAACACCAAGUCGAAGGGUUGAAUGGUAAUUUUUUAAUUUAGUGGCAAACGGGUGAGUAACACGUAGACAACCUGCCGACAGGAUGGGGACAACAUUCCGAAAGGAAUGCUAAUACCGAAUGAAGCGGAGGAGAGGCAUCUCUCUUCCGUGAAAGAUGGCCUCUGAACAUGCUAUCACCUGUCGAUGGGUCUGCGUCUGAUUAGCUGGUUGGUGAGGUAACGGCUCACCAAGGCGACGAUCAGUAGCCGGUCUGAGAGGAUGAACGGCCACAUUGGGACUGAGACACGGCCCAGACUCCUACGGGAGGCAGCAGUGGGGAAUCUUCCGCAAUGGGCGCAAGCCUGACGGAGCAACGCCGCGUGAGUGAAGAAGGUCUUCGGAUCGUAAAGCUCUGUUGAUGGGGACGAACGUGCAAGGGGUGAAUAAUC
rnacentral:rRNA from 1 species